rnacentral:misc_RNA from 1 species
UUUCCGUAGGUGAACCUGCGGAAGGAUCAUUACAGAGUUCAUGCCCUCACGGGUAGAUCUCCCACCCUUGAAUAUUUAUACCUUAGUUGCUUUGGCAGGCCGUGGAAACACCAUGGGCUCCGGCUUAUGCGUGCCUGCCAGAGGAAACAAACUCCGUUUUUAGUGAUGUCUGAGUACUAUAUAAUAGUUAAAACUUUCAACAACGGAUCUCUUGGUUCUGGCAUCGAUGAAGAACGCAC